rnacentral:rRNA from 1 species
GAUGAACGCUGGCGGCGUGCCUAAUACAUGCAAGUCGAACGAAUCUUCUUCGGAAGAUGAGUGGCGAACGGGUGAGUAAUACAUAGGUAACCUGCCCCUGUGCGGGGGAUAACAGGAGGAAACUCCUGCUAAUACCGCAUAGCCAUGAGCACCGCAUGGAGCUCAUGCCAAAUAUCCUUUCGGGGAUAGCGCAGGGAUGGACCUAUGGCGCAUUAGCUGGUUGGCGGGGCAACGGCCCACCAAGGCAACGAUGCGUAGCCGGCCUGAGAGGGGGGACGGCCACAUUGGGACUGAGACACGGCCCAGACUCCUACGGGAGGCAGCAGUAGGGAAUUUUCGGCAAUGGGGGAAACCCUGACCGAGCAACGCCGCGUGAGCGAAGAAGGCCUUCGGGUCGUAAAGCUCUGUUGUAAAGGAAGAACGGCGCAUACAGGAAAUGGUAUGCGAGUGACGGUACUUUACCAGAAAGCCACGGCUAACUACGUGCCAGCCGCCGCCGUAAAAC